rnacentral:rRNA from 1 species
GAGUUUGAUCAUGGCUCAGGACGAACGCUGGCGGCGUGCUUAACACAUGCAAGUCGAACGGUCGGCACUGGAAGGUUCGCUGGAAGGUGCCGGUAGUGGCGGACGGGUGAGUAAUGCAUGAGGACCUGCCUACCGGAGGGGGACAACAGUUGGAAACGGCUGCUAAUACCCCGUAUGCCGAGAGGUGAAAGGAAUGGAGACAUUCCGCCGGGAGAGGGACUCAUGUCCUAUCAGCUAGUUGGUGAGGUAACGGCUCACCAAGGCGACGACGGGUAGCCGGCCUGAGAGGGCGAACGGCCACACUGGAACUGAGAGACGGUCCAGACUCCUACGGGAGGCAGCAGUGGGGAAUAUUGGGCAAUGGGGGCAACCCUGACCCAGCGACGCCGCGUGAGGGAAGAAGGCCUUCGGGUCGUAAACCGCUUUUGUACGUGAAGAAGCAGAUGACGGUAGCGUACGAAUAAGUCCCGGCUAACUACGUGCCAGCAGCCGCGGUAA